CGCGAAUGGCUCAUUACAACAGCGUUAGGUUUAUUGGAUCUUAGAGUCCUACUUGGAUAACUGUGGUCAUUCUAGAGCUAAUACACGCAAUUAAUCCUCAACCUUACGGGCGAGGAGCAUUUAUUAGAACAAAACCAAUCGGCUUCGGCCGUAUCUGGUGAAUCUGAAUAACUACGCUGAUCGCAUGGUCUCGUACCGGCGACAUAUCCUUCAAGUGUCUGCCUUAUCAACUGUCGAUGGUAGUUUACACGCCUACCAUGGUUGUAACGGGUAACGGAGAAUAAGGGUUCGACUCCGGAGAGGGAGCCUGAGAAACGGCUACCACAUCCAAGGAAGGCAGCAGGCGCGCAAAUUACCCACUCUCAGAACGAGGAGGUAGUGACGAAAAAUAACGAGACAGUUCUCUAUGAGGUCUGUCAUCGGAAUGGGUACAAUUUAAACCCUUUAACGAGGAUCUAUUGGAGGGCAAGUCUGGUGCCAGCAGCCGCGGUAAUUCCAGCUCCAAUAGCGUAUAUUAAAGUUGUUGCGGUUAAAAAGCUCGUAGUUGGAUCUGCGGUCGUAGACUCUGGUUCCCUCCUAGGGAUACUAGCUGUCUCGACCUACCUUGUUAGAUUUCCCUUGGUGCUCUUUACUGAGUGCCUUGGGUGUCUAGCUCGUUUACUUUGAAAAAAUUAGAGUGCUUAAAGCAGGCAUUUGCCUGAAUAGUGGUGCAUGGAAUAAUGGAAUAGGACCUCGGUUCUAUUUUGUUGGUUUUCGGAGCAUGAGGUAAUGAUUAAGAGGGACAGACGGGGGCAUUCGUACUGCUACGUUAGAGGUGAAAUUCUUGGAUCGUAGCAUGACGAACAACUGCGAAAGCAUUUGCCAAGAAUGUUUUCAGUAAUCAAGAACGAUAGUUAGAGGUUCGAAGGCGAUCAGUUUCCGCCC
rnacentral:rRNA from 1 species